rnacentral:lncRNA from 1 species
AAACCAACAAAACAAAAACUUGUACAUCCUCCCUCCCUCCUAUCUACUCUCUUCUCUUCCAUUAGAUGAGGUAGCAGCAACAAUUAUAAUCUGAGUUCUACACGAACAUCUCAGAGUCCGAGACAUCAAAAUCCACAUGAUCAAAAUCCAGAUCCAAGUUCAAAUCGCAACCCCCGAAAGGCGAAUUUGUGACCGAGUUUGGUGUUGAGUUGAUGAUGUCACUAAGAUCAGAAUCUGAAGUCUGCAAAUUGGGGUUAAAAUCACAGAAAAGGUUCUCUAACUUCUCUGUUUCAAUUGGUGUGGAGGCAAAGGAAAAGCAAGGGAACAAGCCUUCCUCUCCCCCUUUAUAACCCGCCUUAAAGUUAAAGCUAAACGCGCGAUCCAUACACUUUUUUUCUUCUUCUUCUUCUUUCUUGGGCUUUUUGUCCAACGCUUUUGAUAGUUGAGUGGCUUGGAUGCAAGUAUGUCUUCCCCUAUAACUUACUUCAAACACCGAUGAAUCUUCAUCCGAUCGUUGUACUUGUUUUGUUGCUAAACACCCUUGAACGUUUCGAUGAGUGCAUCGUGAUUAGGGGAAUAUGAAUCUGCAGCAGGUGCUUCAUCAAAAGGGUUGUUGAGCAUAGAAAGUGCUUUCUCAUAGGAAGAAAGUAUCCUUUCAACAAGAAACUCACAGGUUUGAGCUGACAAGGUUUGAUCAAGGUGGCCUUUAAGUUGGUUAGCUAGAUCUCUGCCUUGAGUUAGCUCAUUCAUCAAAGGCUUUUUUUCCAUUUGGUUAGGAAGUGAAUGUGUGCAAGUGAUGUUGAUCUUCCUUUGGUUUUAUUGUUAUUGCAAAGCACAAAUGGACAAUAAGCAUAUAUGUAAAGUUGAGCUUUUUUUUUUUUAAUAUGGAAUUAAGUAGUCAGAUUGGAUUGGUUGGAUGGGUUUAUAUGGUUGGUUGGUUGGUUGGUUGGUUGGAAGAGGAAGUUGUUGUAUAUGUAAAAUGAGGGCUGGGAGGGAAAGAGAGAAGUAUGUAAGUGAAGGUGAAGAUGAAGGUGAAUGUGAAGGUGGGAGGAAAGAGAGGAGAUGGAGAUAUUUAUAUUAUAAUAUAGUCAGUCAGUCAUAUAAGGAAGGAGUAUGAAAGGAGCCCCAACAUUAUUUUGACUCUUUCACAAUAUAACUUCAUGUGCUUUUGUUAUAAAGUUUCCCAAAAAACAAUCCUUCUUUCCUUUCAACUUUAAGCAAGUGUUCUCUAACCUCAAAUAUAGGAGGAGGUUAUGCUAAACUACCUCCUGUUAUUGUUAUUACUAAAUUACUCACAUUAUAUCUCUACUUUACUUACUUAUGAAUGCAUUUAGGGGUACAUUUAGCCAAUCCCUUUUAAAAUUACAUCACCCGAACAUUACUUCACAAAAUUUAUGUAAACUACCCUAUAAGUAAUAUGGAAUGAACACUUAAUUGAUUGAUGUACCUGAAUGAAAAGUGUGUUUCUUGAAUUGAAUGUAUACCAAUUCAAAAGAUGUAGUAUAUCAUAUGGGGGGCUAGAAUUUGAUUUAAUUUGAUAGAAACAAUUGGGUAAAUGCAAACCAAGUAUU